rnacentral:lncRNA from 1 species
AUUUUUUGUAUUUUUGAAAUUUGUUGGUUUUAUUCUUAUAUUAGCAUCUAACUAAACAACCAAGUAAUAAAGAAAUAAAACAAUACCAAAUUAUUACACAUUGGGGAAGUGGGGUACAUUUGUCAAAUGGCGAUAAAAAAAAAAAAUCAUGAAAUAAAUAAAAUCGGGCACAAACAAAUAAUGCAUGAGUGUAAGUGCAAGAGAACCGGCUCAUUGUAAGAAAGCCCAAGAGUAAGCUAUGUGAGGUUGGCGGCGAUGCUUAAAAAGCAAUCGACUUACAAGGGUGUGAAAAAGGGGGCUCGAUAUUAAAUCGAGAAAAGUAUGAUUUUUUAUAAUUUUCAAAUGGUUUUGCAUGCAUGAUGCAAUUAAAAAAAAAACAAAUCAUAUUAUUAAACAAUAAAUAGAAAAAAGAAAUAUGAAGAAUAAAGCAUAAAAAGAAAAUGCUAAAAGAACGAAAAACUACACCUAAGAGUAUCGAACCCACUACACUAAAGAUCUAAACACCACUCCUCUCCACCAAACCACUUAACAACUAAUUGAUAUCUUAAUGCUAACUUAAAUAUAUAAACUAAAAUAAAUUAAAAGGGUUAAAAUAAAAAAUAAUAAAGACUAAAUAAAAAAAAAAAGUAGAAUAACCUAAUUAAUUUCAACCACUUGUCUGUUGGAUUUCCGAAGGGGAAUAAGUUGGAAAUGGUAAAAAAGAAUCAACUUUAAUAGCCAAUAUUAAAUAUCUACUAGGAAAGCCAACGGUCACUUAAAAAUGGAAUUAAAAAAGUUUAAACCACGCUUAAAGUAAAUAAAUGGAAAAAAGAAAAAAAAAUGAAACAAUUCCCAGAACUCUUCCUCUCUCAAUCUCUCCGCCUCGGUAUCACUCUCUCUCAAUCUCACCGUUCAAACUCAUUCUCUCUCAACCUUAACGCCACUCUCCACCUCUUUCAAACUCGCUUACUCACAAUCGCGCCACUCUCUACCUCAAGCGCAAAUAAUCCAUCCCCAAUCGCUCACAUCUCACUCAAUCUCCUGAAAUGAUGCAAGAAUCCAUGGCUAAAACGGAAAGGGCUCACCUUCGGCGGUGGCGACAACUCGGGUAAGGGUUGAAUCUUCUCCCUUUGCCUCUUCCAAAAAUUUGGUUUCGCUUUUUGAUUCUGCCUUAACUUUAGGAUUAGGGUUCUUGUGGUAUUUUGGCCGCCUCCCUCUCUAAUUUUUUCUUUCUGAUUAGGGUUUCCUGGUGGUCGCCGCUCUUCUAUCUAGGGUUUUCGUUUUUCCACCCUCCCUCUG